GCCUGGGUGGCUCAGUAGGUUAAGUGUCUGACUUCAGCUCAGGUCAUGAUCUCACAGUUCGUGAGUUCGAAUUCCGCAUCAGGCU
rnacentral:tRNA from 1 species